UCUAUUUCGAUAUUUUCAAUAUUCCUUUCUCUUUUCUUUUUCUUUUAUUCUUAUUUGAGUUUAAUUUCUGGCAUUUAAAUUCUCGAUGUAGGGGAGCUCACCAUGACAAGAUAACUUUUAUUCAUAGUUUAUAUAUAAGGUUGGCAAAUAUCUCCCUU